rnacentral:rRNA from 1 species
AUUGAACGCUGGCGGCAUGCCUUACACAUGCAAGUCGAACGGUAACAGGUCUUCGGAUGCUGACGAGUGGCGAACGGGUGAGUAAUACAUCGGAACGUGCCUAGUAGUGGGGGAUAACUACUCGAAAGAGUGGCUAAUACCGCAUGAGAUCUACGGAUGAAAGCAGGGGAUCGCAAGACCUUGUGCUACUAGAGCGGCCGAUGGCAGAUUAGGUAGUUGGUGGGAUAAAAGCUUACCAAGCCGACGAUCUGUAGCUGGUCUGAGAGGACGAUCAGCCACACUGGGACGGAGAAAGGGCCCAGACUCCUACGGGAGGCAGCAGUGGGGAAUUUUGGACAAUGGGCGCAAGCCUGAUCCAGCAAUGCCGCGUGCAGGAUGAAGGCCUUCGGGUUGUAAACUGCUUUUGUACGGAACGAAAAGCCCCGGGUUAAUACCCUGGGGUCAUGACGGUACCGUAAGAAUAAGCACCGGCUAACUACGUGCCAGCCGCCGCCGUAA